CAUUGCAGCAACAACGGCCACAACUCCCGCACCUGCCCCACGCGCUCCUCUGGCGUGUCAUCUUCGUCAGCGUCUUCCGCUGCCGGAGUCAGGCUCUUCGGCGUCAGACUCACCGAUGGGUCCAUUAUCAAGAAGAGUGCCAGUAUGGGCAACUUGUCGGCGCACUACCAUUCCUCGUCAUCAGCAGCCGCUUCACCUAAUCCUGACUCUCCCUCAUCGGAUCACGUCCGCGAUUCGCGUAACGUUCCAGACGGGUAUUUGUCUGAUGACCCGGUCCAUGCUAGCUGCUCCACCAAUCGACGCGGAGAGAGAAAGAAAGGUGUCCCAUGGACAGAAGAGGAGCAUAGGCUAUUCUUAAUUGGUCUUCAGAAAUUGGGGAAAGGAGAUUGGCGUGGAAUAGCUAAAAAUUAUGUGGUGUCUAGAACUCCUACCCAGGUAGCAAGCCAUGCUCAGAAGUAUUUCAUCCGCCAGAGCAACGCCACACGAAGAAAGAGACGCUCCAGCCUUUUUGACAUGGCUGCAGAACCCCAGACAGUACCAGAAGAACAAGAGUUGCCAUCUUUAGGAGAAACUGAUAAUGCAGACGCACUACCUUCACUGAACCUAUCUCUGAAGCCAGAAUAUGAACCAAUGGAAACUGCAUCAGAAGAUCCAGCUAAAGAUUCUGAAGAAACAGUGAUGGAUUCCAGCGAAUCAAAA
rnacentral:misc_RNA from 1 species